GUAGACUUUUUAACAUAAAAUUUCAAUAUUUUGUAGAUUGUUUUCAAUUUAUUAGUAGUGUUUUUUUUAUCUUUACAGUAUAUGUUUUUCUUCAUAAUACGACAAUGAUGUGAAGGCAAGAGGGGUAAUCGAGUACGACACGUAAAAAGGAACUACGAGAGCGUCUUGCGGGACGACAACAGAGAGGAAUCGUGCGGAUGGACGUAACGAGACAGGAAAUCACACCAAAGUAAUAGGAGACGCCACGAAAGCGACAUAAAGUGACACGCGAGACAUGCGAAGUAUCGCGAAGUGGCACAGCAUUGAUACUAAACAAUGUGUGAUGUGAUGCGCGACGUAGGAAUAACACGGGAGAAGCGAGGCGAUGCAGCAAGGAUAGCGAUGACACAAAAUAUCGCGAUGCAGUAGCAUGAGUGACGCUAGAUGAUAUGACGAUGACACAGAGCGUGGUUUGUUUUACAGCAUGAUAGUUGCGUUGCGAUAUAGAGCGAAUCGACAAAAAGGAGAAUUAAAUUUCGGCAGGUCGAUUUCUCGUCCUUAGAGAGAUCAAGAACUAUCGAUUGAACAAAUUGACUUCGAAUAGAUUGGUAAAGAAAAGGUACUACAAUAAACUAAUUAAAUUUUUAAGUAAAUAAAACAAUUUGUGUGAAAAAGAGUGUUAUGUUUUUAUUUCCAGAAUUUUUUAUUUCUCUGCGGGCAAAAAAUAUAUGACGCGGCGCAAAGUUCUUAUGUCUCCUCGCUUUCAGCGAAAUAAUGGCAAGGAGGUAAUACGAUACGCAAACGAAUAUUCGCAUCGCGGGCAGAUCGGUGACACUUGUCGAGCAAUGACUUUAUCGGUCGAUCAUUACAAUAGUGAGAAAUGAAAUGAACGAAGAAUCCGGCGGCCGGCCGAGGAGGACACGCGUGGCUGCGAGUACGCAUUAAGUUGGCGACGAUUUGCAUACGCUGUGUAUUUGCAUAAGCCGCUCACGGAACAUACACACAAGCAGAUCGAACAAUCGUGCCGCUUGCAUAAUAUUUGCAUGGACGAUCGCCGCGUCACUCGCCGCACCGCGCCGUCCGUAUACAUCCCGAUCGAGGAGAAUCAUCCCCGAGCCGAAAUCACGCACGCGCGCGCUUAUCCGGAAAGUGUGCGUCUCAAUAAGGGUGAGAGAGAUCGGCGCUUAUACUAAUUCACGCUAACACUCGAUUCUAUCUUUGCCGCAGGAAGUUCGCAGGAAGUGCACGGGAAUGUGUGCUUGUUCUAACUCUCCGUGGGCCGCGACUACAGCGAGGAAACCUCGCGUGUACGUAGAUCGUGAGAUCCAUAGAUCCGUAGGUUUUGAUACGCGUAUCAAGGUCCGUAGGUUGCGGAAUUCAUGGAUGCUUGCUGCACACUAUGCCUGGGCGUGUGUAAAUUAAUUGAUUCAUGCUUCUAUAAAAUCGUAGGCACGCUUAUACUAUACGCCAGUAACGAGGCAAUACUUUUUCAGUUUUAUUAUUCAUGAUUUCCAUUUUCUCAUGUCAUAAUAUUAUAUUGCAAAUAAUCCUCCGCAAAAUUAUGUCUACGGCGUAUUCGAUAUCUGCCAGAGAUCUGAAAAUAUGAUUUCCGACGAGAGUUCUUCGGGCCUUAUACUCGCGAGACUACCCAGAUUAGAUCAACGAGGCGCAUCCGAUUACCGAGGUCGUUAACAACGCCUUUGUCCGUGACGUGGUCGCGUCACAAUAAAAUAUUUUGUCGGGGCGUUCCCAAUUUUCCGCGGUCCGCGAGAGCGUUUGAUUUACAAAUCGAACGAUAAUUCGCUCGUCCUCCGGGCUUGUCCUGCCAGAGGAGGAGCACAAAGGGAAAGCCCGGGGUGCCAUCCCCGUGUACCACAACUCACCCGCCGGUAAAUCCCUUUUGUACUCUCACAUCGGGUCGGGUUUGCCGGCUUCGCGGGAAACGAUAUCGACGAGCCGUUUUAAGUGCGCGGAAUCCUUACUCUCCUCUCAACGUGUACAAAUGUACCAAUCGACGGAGAAAACUCGACGAUGUCGAGGGCCGGUCGCCACGUUACUUCUCUUUGCAAACACGUUGCCGUAGCUUUUAAUCACUUUCGAUACUCGACACGCAGACGCGCCGCCGUUCGAUACUUGCGAGAAAAUGGAUAUCGUGAAGCUCACUUUAAUCGCGGAAGUGCCUGCCUAGAGAUUAAAAGUACGUUAAUGCGUUAUUACAGCCGUGCUGCUUGUACUACGUAAUUAAUUGUCAAUUACGCGAAUCACCCACAACGACAACGGCGAAUCGAUAUAGAAGGCGCGAGCAAUUACAUAAGUAAAGGCUCCAGAUUAUUUACGGUGCAUCAACGAUCGAUAAUUAUGCAAAUAAGUAUUUUUCAAGGCGUCCUACGGAUUAAUAAUUGUCGGCGCGUACGAUCGAUCACGAUUUACUUACCGCGAGGUUAGCCGAGUGCGUUCGAUUUCUCCGGCAGUAAAACUCUCGCGAUUCAACUCGCGCGUUUUGCUCGAGUCGAGGAGGAAGCCACUCACCGUGGCGUGCAAACAGUUAUAUCCGGCUUGCCCGCGUAUCGUCUGAAAAGCGUGUAACGCAUGCAAGUGCCGGCUCGCGCGCGCAGAUUGUCCCCCUUGCUGCGGAAUCAUCCCCUUAAUUAAUCCCUAUUUAGGCAAUCGAUUUUGUUUAAGGACGACCUCGCAAGGGAACUGACAUGGAAAUUAUUUUGGUCACGAAAACGGCUCGUAUAUACGACCGAGAAUACGUACUCGUCAGGGGGAGAUUAUUUCGCUCGAAGAACGAUGGAGAAAGAGAUUGCAGAGAAGAGACUGAAAAAAGAGACGAAAUGUAGACAUCAAGGACCAAAAAUAAAAAUUUUAUUCCUUUAUUUAAUCAUGUCACACUUUGCACGUCGGAAGUACAAAAGUCAACCUACAUAAGACAUGCAGUUAUUUUAAAAGGCUCUAACUUUGAUACCAGCAAUUUUUAAGCGCGGACUUAGUCUUUAGGGAGCUUAGAUUCUCCUCUUGGGUUUAUCGUCCCUAUCAACCCUUUAUCGUUCGUUCUUAUCGUCUCGGCGUGGUCUUUAUCUCCGACCCUAGGCGACGACGAAUCGUGGAGAGAAGACUUGUGGUGAUUAAAAUUUCAGAGAAGCGAAUCACGAGAGAGAUGUUCGGUUAGAGAGCUAAGCUCCUAAGAAGAAAGGCCAAAAGGGUCAAAAAGGUCCGGUGUACGCACUAACUGAGUAAGUAAUUAAAGUCUACUACAAUUUUUGACUUUUCGUAAAAGAACGAUUCGCCUUUGGAGUCUUGUAAGGCAAAAGUUCGUAAAACUUUUUUUGUCCUGAACCUUUUUUGUCUGACGGUUUAUUUUGAAAUUAUUCAGCUGUUUAUACGGCUCGGGUUUGUUAUCUUAUAGUGUUUAGGAUAUUUUUCUUGGGUCCAGACAUAGCCCCAACUCUAAACAAUGUUACGAGAUAAUACAAAGACGAGAGACCAGUACACAUACAAAUAUCUCGAGAGCAUUACGGUUUUAUCUGCCUGACAGCAGGACAUAAAACAAUCUUCUCUCUCUUUUUUUUUUCCCAAAAGAUGUGAGUCAUCAAUUAUCGAAACAUUUUCGUGAACACGCGUAGAUAAAAUGAGUUUUAAAACUGACAUCUUUGUAUAUACGGUUCCGCAUUUGUUUGGAAAUUGCAUCGUACACUAAAUGAGACGUUAUAGCACAUUCGAUUCGAUUUAUUUCAAAUUACUUUCUUCAUUAGCUGAUGCUGCCGAGCGCAGCGAAUGAAAAUCUUGCCCGAAUAAAAACUCGGGACUGUAAAUCACAGCGAUGGACGCUCUUGCGGGAUAACGAUGCAAAACAGGAGUCGAAGAAACACGAGUAAAACGCCGUCGGAGAGAGGGUUAAGAAGGAGUCGUCGAUAAGUGCCCUCCUUCCCCCUUGAGAGUUGGAACAUCUCACUCAGCCCGCUCGUUCGUUCGGCAGGAUAACGAGGAGGAAGGCUCGCGUUCGCGCUUGUAUAUAGAUAUAUUGGGAAAUUCCGUUCUCGUGAGGAGACUGGGAUCGACGCCCACAUGCAACACAGAAACUACGUGCAGGCAUCUCGUCCGCGCCAUCCGAGCUCUUCAGGCGCAAGCGAGAAACUAACGGAGACAAUGGAUCCCGAAGUUAUGCCCCAAGAUCUUUAAUGCAAGCCAGGCUGCUCUGCCGCCGAUGCCACCUCGCUGUGAGAGCUAGCCCGCGGUGACUGGUGCAUCGUCACGUAAUGCUUAUGAAGCGAUUCUCUGUUACGAGAUCUCCGCACAGCGCUACGCCAUCCAUCGAAAGUACGGCAUCACGAAAGCACAUUUAUCACGGAACAGAAAAUAUGGAGAGCCCGAUUAUUCCUUGUAUAUUUUAAGAUGUAUGCAGGAGAUGAAUAAAAUAUCUCGGAAAUACUUUUUUAUUAAUAAUAAAAGUAAUAGAACGUUGCACUGACGACUAUUCAAACAUCGUAUGAUCUCGUUCCGUUGGUGAACAAGGAUAAAGGUAAAUAAUGGGCCAACCUCUUAUUAAUAAAAUAAGUGAUAUAUUAGAUGUUUACAUCACUUUCUCAAUCUCCUGUAUAUUUUAUCCCUUUUCUCUCAAGAGAAAGAGAGAGAGAGAGAGAGAGAGAGAGAGAGAGAGAGAGAGAGAGAGAGAGAGAGAAUAUGUGUAUGUGUGUUUGUGUUUGAGAAAUAUUUGAUCCACAGUAUGGCUGGGACGAGAUUCCGGUAUUCAUAAAUCUAAGGAUUUCUAAGAUUUAUGAAUCCAAUGUUCCUAAAUAUGUGACUGUAAAGUCGCAGGAAAUCGUUCCAAACUUUUCGAGAAUUCGAGACCACAAAUUUACAUACAAAGAUCCAAAAGUUAUAACUCUCGCCGAGCCAGAGCUCCAACAGUGCCACGGAAGUUAAAUCAUGCGAAGGUAGAGAUCUACUUCCAAUCAAUCGGAGGUGCUAUAUAAUUUCGAUUAACCGUUGCUUCUGAGUGCCAAGUCUCUCCAAUUACCACGCAUAAUCGACUCGAAUUCCACAGACAGGCGGACAGUCGUAAGAACGAAUGUACCGUUUGAUACACUAGUGUUUCACUCGAAUAGCCAGUGCUCGUAAUGAGGAUACGCGCACCCAGUAAAUUUGCUCGAGACAGUAAUAGACUACGGGACGUGAGGGGCGAUGAUGAGAGAGAAAGAGAGAGGGGGGGAAGGGGGGAAGAGAGAGACGCUCGCGGAUGCCAUAGACAUAACGCAGGUGGUGGCUUUAAAUGAUUACAACAUCGGUACCCUUUGAAUACGUUACAGUGACGCACUUAAUAAGAAUACAGCCGCGCGCGAGUUUUCGCAAUCACAUCAGAAGGAACGGCGCGAGUGUGCGAGACCGUGGAAAAAAAAUGCAUCGCGCGCGAAACAAUGGGAAGCCGUAACGAGCGGUGAAAAAAAAAAGAACGGCGUCGAUGAUCUUAUCGAUGCAACAGAAUCCGCCGCGAUUUCGGUAUUACGUACUGUUUUUCCCGAAAGAGCGAAUCACUUGAAAAAUUGUUUUUCUGCAAAUUUAUGUUGCCACGAUCUUAUCGUACCUGCAUUUAAUAUCGAUAUGUUAUUUCGUAGGCGAAAAUAUUAUUAAACGCUGGCAUUUUCGCACACUAGGAAGCGUUGAACGGCUAUAGUCGGGCAGAGCUGUGGUAUGCAGGUGCAGGAGCGGCGAUUCCGCAUCGUGAGACCGACAGGAAACCCGGGCGAACCGCUUCGCUUCCGACACGCUUCGUCGCAAGGCGAAGGCAGAGGCCCCGUAUAUUAAAACAAUCUCGCGUUAACCCUUUCGUGCUGGAAAACCUGACUUAAUCACCAACUAAAAAUAGUUUCCUUCGGAAGAACUCCUUCUUCGUUCCCUUCAUAACAUUUUACAAAAAGAUCGAUUGCGAGAUUGUUAUUAUAAAUAAUAAAAUCAGAUUUUACAGUUGACCAAAGUUUUCGUCGCGUUCUUCGAUUGCCUCCUUCAUGCAGACCGUAGUUCUAAUAUUGGCGACUCGAGAACGGCAAUCUUGCAAUCUUGCGAAUUUUUUUUUAGCUAGAAGCGCGCGACGUUACUAUCACUCCCGGCCACUUUCCGAGCCACGGGAUCGAUACGCCAAGUCGCCUGCGGAUUUGGGGACGGCCAAGAGGAAGUGGCACGGAUCGAGAUAUUGAAGAAGAACCGGAGGAAAGGGACGCGCAUGUGUCGCGUGUGCGAAUGCACUCGCUGACCUGGGUUAACAGCCCGUCAAGGGCUACAAUGCAACAUUGUUUCGUCCCGCGCCACCGACGGGAACGCGACGUGUUUGUUCCGUUCUCUUUUCCCUGUGGCUUAUUCGCGUAGUAGAGAAACAGGUCCUCCCGGCUUUCUCGCGCCACUUCUUUUCACUCUUCGUCGUUUCCUCUUCCACCUCGUUGCGCCCUCGUCGAACGAGUUUUCUGUUGGACAAUCGACGAAUAGUCCUGAGGACUCGAAAGGGAUAAGGUAUGGCCGUCGUACUUCGCAAACGAUGCGAUAUACUUGCGGAAUCGCUCGAUGUAUAUUUGGAAAUUUGUGCAAAAUUGAUUUAAUCCUCAUACGUAAAGUUACAUUUUAUACGUGUUUCCGUACAAAAAAUAAUGGCUUGUAAUGUAAAAUAUUUUACUCAAAGGCUAUAGAAUUUAUUGAAUGCCUAUGUUCCACCGGGAAUUUCUCAAUUAAAAUACUUUUGCCUCGCAACUUUGCGUCUUCCGUAUACGCGCGCAUGUGUGUGUAUGUGAGUGCGUUAGCCGAAAAAAUUCUGAUACUUAACCGUUGACAAUGCUUUCGGCUGGAAAACUACGUGCGUUGCCACGCAAGUCACAAAACGCGCUAUAAUUUCAUUAAAUGUCCCGUGAAGCAACGAAUAAUGCCGGGGAUUCGUCGCAACGCCACUAGCGCGUUUCAGGAGGCCGCGUUAAUAAUCGCCAACAAUUAACGCGCGAACUUUAACGGGCUCCUUGGAAAAUAUAGAGUCAUUCGUUUCCGCCAGUGACUCGUAAAUUCGACGCGUGCUUCUCCGGGCAAGAGGAACUAACGUAUUGCCAGCGACAGCGGAAUUCUCGUGACCGUCCCUGGACGAUGUUAUCGCCGGAAGCGAAGCAAUAUACUGUAGCAUUAUAGGCGAAAAAUUUACACGCGAUAAUCCGGUGGCAUGCAGCUCGCAAAACAAGAUUAUUUGAUUAAAAUAACAAUAACUUUUAAUGUGUUCUCAAAAACAGACUUCUUGAUGAACUUAACAUUUAAAAUCAUUGGUGAGUAAAGUAUUUAAAUUAUUUUAGAUUGAGUAAAAAAUUUAAUCUAAAUUUUACAAGUAUUAAUGCAGCACACAUCCAUAUAAAAUUCUGCUUUUUAAUAGGAUUAGAAAAGAUUUAAUUUUUAAUAGAAAUUUGAUCAAGACUUACUAUGCCGAAGCAUAUUUCAAUUGAAGAUAAACAACUUAAUUCACUUGUACCAAAAAAAAAAAGAAUAAUUCCAAAUUUAUCAAGAAAUUUAUUGUCCAUUAACGAACACAUGAUUACGGCCUUUUCUCCCGCGGUUGCAACGGAUUCAUUUUACUCGCAUCUUCCAUCAUCGCUGUACAUGGAAGUAAGAGUCAGUCUCGUGGCGAGGAACGCUCGCACGCUCGCUCGCGAGUCGCGUCGCGCCGCGCCGCGAGUCGUGACACAAUGUGAAACGAGCUUGUCCCUGGCCCAUAUAGCAUAGGUAAGCUCCAUCCGCGAUUGCGUAACCGCGGCCGAUAGUAGAACGCGCGAGUAGUCGCAACCGCGGCAUUUUCUAGCGUAUUGCAUACUUUGCGAGUGCACUGCAAUUGCAAUGCGAAGAAAAUUGAGGAACGAGACAAAAAGAAUUAAAAAUAAAUUACAAAUGUUUCGCUAUCAUCAUUUUGCAAAAAGAUGCUACAUUGAUACACAGUAAGAUGACUGAAAACCUAGAAAUGUCGACAUUUUAAUACUUUGAUUCUCUUGUUGGAAUAGAAGAUGUAUAUUCAUAAAAAAAUCAGUUUUAAAGUUUUCAUUCUAAGACCGACAGACAACUAUCCUAUUCUAAUUAGAGAUUUUUUUUAUUUUUCGACCGAUUCUACUACGCUAAUAUCCAAUAUAGAAAGUAUUAAAGCGAGUUGUGCUUGACUGUUACCUUGUUAGGAAUAGCUAAUGCUAUUCAGUUACUUUAACAAUAAUUUACAUUCUAUUUACACGCGUAAUAUUUCCUUAUUUCUGCUUGCACGUUGGUUAACAUCGUCCAAGGUAUUGGCUCGCUAUGGCAUCCCGUGUGGGUUGAAAUGUACGAAGGACAGAGAAUACACGUAUACUUUCGCAAGGUUUUCUAUGAAACCACUCGCGAAUAAAGGACAUAAAAUGUUGCUCGUGAUUUAAUAGCGACGAAGGCUCGUCUUCCUCGAUGCUCUCGGAAUGAUCAUAACUGAUAUGAUAUUAGAGAAAGUUCACGUGGUCACUUUUAAAGCUCAUAAUAUAAUUUACAACGCGAGCGACUAUACUUGGCCGCGUUCGUCGUUACUUAACCAUCACUUAACCCGCAAGUCUAACGUGUUCUUAAAUACAUCGGUGAAACGGUGAUUCGCGGAAUUAUUACACUCGCGGAGAAAUUUUACACCGCUAGGUGGAACGUGAAAUUCGCGAAUUACUCCUUUUGGACGGAUGCCACGACGACAAGCCAAAAUCGCGAAAUGCUAAAACCCCCAAUGCAUAGACUACACAUAAUAUUUCUCGUUAAAAGACAGGGUCCUUUUUAUCGAUAAAACAAUCAUCGCCUUAAAAGGCAAUUAAAUUAAAUUUGUAGCAUUUAAAUUUAUUUUACUGAAGUAAAUCUUCAUUUUGAUACAUAAAAUAAAGUUUUAUCUCUAAAUCUCAAAUUAACCAAUGAAUGCAAAAAAUAAAAUAUAUUUAACCAAUAAGUAUCAAAGAAAACGUCAGAAGUAACACUUGCUUGCUAAUAUUUCGACUUUUUUUCUCAGCGUACAUAAGCGAUAAAGAUGAUGGCUAAACUUUACGAUACAAGUACCGAAUUUGUAGAAAUGAAAAAAUACAAAAUGUUGAUAUUAUUAUGCGGCAUUUAAUACGAAAUUAGGCAGUCCUCAAUUAAUAUAUAUUAACAGCAACACCUGUCUCCUCGACCUUCCACAAUGAAUUAGAAUUAGCUCAUUUUCGCGAUUAUCACGCUCAAUCGCGAUAGAGCCAUAACCGAUGAGCCAAUCUCGUGAGUCACCAUAAUUCCAUUUGCCUCCACUUACUUCGUAAACUAAUAACAUGUUUUCAAUUUCGCUGUUAUAAUCGCGAUUUUCUUACAACGUUAAUCGUAUCGUGAUUGACCUGUGGACGAUGCAGUCUCGCCUCCGAUUAUACCCUGGAGAAUCCGAAGAAAUCUUUCUCAUACAAAUUAUUUAACAGCAAUUGCAUUCUAUGAGCAUGGUAAUUAUACGCGAUGCAUUGUUAUUACACCUGAAGCGCCAUUAUCACAUGUAUUUUUAAUGGUAGAUAUUGUUCGAGAGAUUUGAAUGUAAUUAAUACCGAUUUUAUCUUCCACAGGAAUAGGAUAUAUGCGGUGCUAAGCAUCGGGGAGAGGGAAAAAAAUUUAUCGCUGAAAUUCUGUUUGUUAGAGAACGCAGUAUCCUGUAUACAUGCACGAUCGUUAAGCACGUGUCGGCACAUUGAUAGAAUUGCUUCCGCGCUAAUUCUCGCCGAUUGUAGAUAACGAUUAAUCGUUUUUGUUCGGAUUUUUUUAUCUCGCACUUAUGCAUACGAUAAUUCACGACGUUGCGACGCGUAACCGCGGCCGAUCGGUCGAUAUAUGUAUUAUGUAACUUUAUUCCGUUACCUCGGCGAAGAGCGCACGUGUAACAAAACGAAUUAAUAAGCCAGACGAUCCUCAUUGCCGCAUUCAAAUACGCGCGAGCUCUCGACCGCGGAAAAUUUAUGACAGUGUAGUGAGACGUCAAGAGUUAUACCUCCUGAUCCCGAUCUCGCGAUGAUUCGUCGCGCGACUCGAGAAACGCAAACGCGUCUUUUAAGAUCUGCGAGAUCACACAGCUUGUUUCUCGCACGGUUCGUUUUUCGUUUCGCUUUUUCUAAUAGAGCGGCGAGAGUUAAUUGCACCGUGUGGAAUCUAGCCUGCUUAGAUGCGCGCAGGUGUGCGUGAACGAACAACAGUGGGAACACCACAACUAUAACAAGGUGUUUUAAACCUUCCUUAUUUCUGCACUUAACCCCUGAUAAUAUUAUGGUUCAAGUCGUUCGACGCUCUGAUUGGCACAACAGUAAAAUUAUUUCUCAAGAAUGUGUCGUAGAACGUGAUAAUCUAUAACAACAUGCAAAUAUUACGCAUAAAAAUAGAAUAUAAUCUAAAUAUCAGUAACUACAUGAAUAAAAAGUACACUUAAUAUAUACAACUACUGCAUAUAAUGUCAAAUAUUAUGAUAAAUAUUCUCAAUACAAAUUUGAAUAUAAUAAAAUAUUAAAUAUAAUAAUAUAAGAUCAAAAUAUUUUUAUCUUUUCACGGUGUAAAUAAAUCGUGAAUAAAAGAUGAUAUCUGAAUGACCCAAUGUUAUCAUACUCGAUUACGAAUUACGAUAUCGCAUCAUCUUCAUGGCACUUAAUGACGUACCGCAACAUCCUCCUCGCGCGUUUUGACAUUUAUUGUUCGCUUGAAUCAUCGUGAUCACUCGUAAUUCGCAAUCUUUCUACGAUUUGCGAAUUACCGCAAGAUGACAAAUAUCCUUGCGAGUCAUGGAAAUCGGUUUCCGUUUGACUUUUCUUCUUUCGCGGUAUAAAAUGCGAUUAGAAAUCAUUCUAUACAAUUUGUACGACUUAAUUAAGAAUGACGCAUCUUUUAUUCAUCACGCAUAAUGCAGUUUCACGUUCGACUCAUAAAAAAAUAACCACGGAUGAAAUGUAGAUUGCGUGGGUGUCAUAUAUUUUUCAUUCCCGAUUAUUUAUUUAAUAUUAAAUCUAAAAACUUUCAAGGAAUUAAUUCAAGAAUACGUACGAUUUUCUGUUAAACGGAAAGAUUUAAUUUAUCCAAAUUCAUUUUAAUAAAUAUUGGUAAAACGUUCGGAAAAUACAUUUUUCCAAGAUACUCGCAGCUAAGUGAACCUUGCAACAUGCUACGUACGGAUUAUCGUUUCCGCGUCAUUAAUAUUCACGGAAAUGACGUUCCCUGUGUUGUGGUACAACGCAAGUACGAGGAGCGAAGAUACUCGGCUACAAGGUGGAUGCCCGUUACGUGACCACUUUCGAUUUAAUUCAAGUCCAAGGCAACAGAGCAUUCCGUUUGCGAAGACAAGUUGUUCCGCGAAUGUCUAUAGCGCCGAUCGAAUAUUAAGCCGCGCAGCGCUCUCCCUUCGUUUCUCAUUCUCACACGGUUAUCGACCUUCGAAAUGCACUGCCGGAUAUCACAUGCGCUAUCAGCGGUAACACGCGAUCGAACAAAACAUAUAUCAGACUUCUCUUGGUCGCAUGCAAUACCAAGAAAAAUACUUUUUAUUCCCAUCCCCCGCAUUAGGCAUUUUAUCACCUGCGAUCUCUACGGUGUUAUGCGAUCUACUAUAAUUACAAAUUAUAAUCUUCUUUAUGAAUAUAUUUGUUAAAUAUCUUUUUUAAUUUGAAAAUAUAUAAAAAGGUAUAAUUUAAAACGUUUACCAUGUCCUUACAACUCUCUAAUUCGAUAAUUAAUAUUUUAUUCUGCAGCAAGUGUCUUUUUACGUAUCAUUUUACAUAUCGUUAAAAUGCAUAAAAUGUAUGCGGUAUGUAUUCGUUACUGUGUUGGCAUUUGCAAGUAUCAACAUUUCUAAAGCACCUAUCAAGUAGACGGUAUACCCUUACUAAAAUAUUAACGCUCCGAUGUGCGAUAUCAUUUAACAUCUGUAUCGAGUACUCAGUUUUAUCAAUGACAGAUAAAUUGUUCACGAAUACAUCUGUAGAACUUAUUUCUUCCAUGUAAUUAAUUAAGAAAACAGUUUCAGACAAAUAUUUAUAGAUUUAUUCGACAAAAAGAUUGAAAAAUCAUUCAAACGGGAGAUAUAAAAAAUUUACGACGUUCAUCCAUCGUUGACAAAUAUCAGCGAACGUGACAAUUUUUCGCGAAUUAAAAAUGCUUCGCCUCGAUGCGAGCGUUCAGUAUAAAUCGCGUUUCCUGCCGACCGGAGGAAAGCAGAAACCAUCGAGGAGAACGAGGGAGGUCCAACUUCUCCCGGCGGAGGUUUAGCCCGCUCUAAGUAGAAGUCUGGACACCAUCGCGCGGCCACGACGGAAGGUCAACGCACUUCGGCCAAGGACACAUUCUAGACCCACACACAGGGAUCUCCCUCGUAACGAAGCAUCGCCACACACGCACGCACUGACGUACGGCAUCGACUUGCACACAUCGAUCCGCUCGUAACGCGCCUGCUGCAGCUAUGCACCGCGCGUUCGUGUGCGAGUAAAGUAUGCACGCGUGCGUGCAUGCGUGCGUAUACCUGCGUAUGUGGCAGCGCGUGCGUGAAAGAAUCACCGUGAUAUAUUUGGUUGCCGAAGCGAAUACAGUGCACUGGUGCACGAUUUUUUUUUUCGAUUCCGAUAACGUUUCUAUUUUUUUUGCUUCGAUCUCAGUUUUAUAAAAAUUUCAUAAAGUUUUUGUUCAAUAUAAAUAUUUUUUUACGUCGGCUGUAUAUUAUUGUACUGUAUUUUUUUAGUUGUUCUCUACUCUUCUGCUCUUAUGUGAAAUUGCUUCGUCAAUUAUUUCAUUCGUAUAAACUUCAAAUCAAUGAAUCAUAUUAUGUAAGCAACGGAGUAACAUUGUGGUUUUAUAUGUAAUUCAUUAAUAAUAAUAAUUAUCAUUAAUGAAAUAUUCUUAUUGGCUUUCUAAUUUUUUAGCCAUUUUGUACAUUAAGAAAAAAAGUAACUGAUUCAACAAAAUUUUUUAGUUGCGGGCUGCCAACAAAAGAUAUAUUCAAUAUAUGGUACAAUAUAUGAUAUUGCAAUAUAAAUAUAUAGUCCAAUCAACGUUAUUGCAUUUGCAUUAACAGCAAAUAUUAUUGUAUUAAGUAUAUCUUUUGUUGGCAGCCCGCAACUAAACGUUUUGUUGAAUCAAUUACUUUUUUCUCAGUGUAUUAAAUAACAACAGUUAACUCUCAGAUCAUAUCUAAGACAUUGAAACUCGUAUCUGUCUACUCACUUCACCUGCGGGGUUAACUUGACUCUGAGUUUAAUCGAGCGAGUGCUAUCGGAAUUUACGAGACGGGUGAUAAGAAGCGGAUAGCAGAUAAAUAUAGGAAUCUUCGUUGGCGGAAUGUAAAUCAAUUGAAUUUUGAUGCACGAAUCGCAAUAAAAUGCGAUGCGAUUUUAUAGAGUACCUACUACGCGCCUACACGUACAGUGCGACAUUUAGUGCUAAUAAAUCUGUGUACCAUAAGAACAUUGUAGUAGUACGAUGUAUCGCCAUUAUGGCAGUGCCUAUACAAAGAUUAUUCGCGCGUUACCCUGCAAAAGAGAGGCGUUGCGCGUCGCGAUACGACGUACCUGUCUAAGAUCUGUCUAAAAUGCACCACCGGAAUAGAAGAAUGCACCGUCGAAAUACAUCGCGAAAAUCAAAAAAUUUGCACGUUUCGCAUAAACCGUAACGCGUAAGCGAGGUUACCGCCUUAUCUCCCCUCGUCGCACGAAAGAUGCAUAAAUCGCGUUACGGUUAUUCAGAAAAUACACGCGGCCUGAUACGCCGGAUUUUUCCCUGUAUCCGGCGGUACUUUUUCUGGUACACGUACGAUACGAACGUGCUAUGUGCUACCGACCUACACCGACCACGGGAGCGAGGCGGGGACAAAACGUGCUUCUGUCUGGAUGUUGAUAUGAAUAAUGUAUCGCACGGGGUCGCGGCACUGAGGGAUGGGAAAGGCGGGAACGGAGGGACGAAAGAGGAAAUUAGAGUUGGAUACGCACAGGAUUAUGAAGGCGGCGAUAUAUGGCCGUGUGUGCGAGAAGUACGGGAGGAGAAGGAAGAGAGCUCCCUCGGAGAAGUGGGAGGCCGUUCGUGAAAGAACAUACGCGACGAAAAAUGAAUAUUUCACGGGGUAUGGAUUUUCACACAUAUUUCGAAGAUUUGUACACGUAUCUAGAUCAUGGUGUAGUAAUGUUACACAUUAUAUUGCUUUAUAUAUUUUAGAGAUUAUAUCCGGAAAGGUCGAAAAGCAGAAUUAUCGUGAACUAAAUUUUCGUGUUAGUUUAGAUGUAAGAAUCGUCGGGAGAACAGAGAAUAAUAAUUUUCACACUGCAGCGACUACUGGGAGUGCCUAGAAUUUACACACUGCUCGCUCAGCAUUGGCCUAAAAAGAUACAUGAAGCGUCGACUCACACGAGAGUAAUAUAUGUCGUCAUCAUGUCCGCUUGCAUUUAUUGCACAAUUUAAAUUUGCAUAAACUCGCUUUGAAGGAUCGGUAAAAAAAACUGGACACAUCGACAUCGGUAUGUCAAAUUUUUGGUCGCAGUGCCAAAAAUUUACUCGUGCGAUCGUCAACCGAACCGCGAGUCAAAGCGAACAUCGAAGUUGAACUCGAUCGAGAGGCGAAAACGUGUACGUUAAUGCGUCGCGGAAGCCGCUAAAAUUAACGAGAUAAUGCGCCACGUAAUAACGACAUAAAUAUCCAGUGGUCUCAGCCAGUCGCGAAAAGCGCGUAAUCAGGCUCUCCAACCGGGCCUAACGAAGAGAUGCGUUCCGUGUAAUUAGUAAUUACGGCCUGCAAGCGAGUGAGCGCGACCGGCAAACUGGUUGCGAACGAUCGAUCCAUCGAUCCGACGAUUCGCGAUGCGACGACUCGCAGACAGGAUGUUUAAAUUUAAUAAGACAUUAAUAUAUUUCCAUUCGUUCGACAUUAAAUGGCGAAGGUACCCAAUGCUUACACAAUUAGUAUUACCGAGAAUAAUUAAUGAUUAUAACUAGUAAGAAGAAGGAUGACAGCAGCACAUUAUUGCGAAAGUUUAUGCAUACAAUUAUCCAAUUAAAAUUAUUACUUGGUAUUAUAAUUACCAGCGAGACUAUCAUUAUAUUAUUUAUACCGUUAUAAAAAAUUAAUAAAUCGAGUUUAACCCAAAACUGUUGACUGAGUAAAGAUUUAUUGAAAUACGUUAUUAAAAUAUUCAGCAAUUUUAUUUUUCGCUAUUAUUUUUCUAAAUAAUCGGUGUAAGAAGUAUUUGGUAUCAAGGCGACGGGCAACCUGUCUCAAGCGUGGUAUCGUGAACAUCUCCAGAUCGUGGCGGGCAUGCCGAACGCGCGUCUCGGGACAAGAGAGACCGGCUAUCGCGCAAGAACCGCGUCUAAUCUCGCCCUGAGCGAGCGACCCUGAGAGCGAGAAGCUGAAGGCUCUCCCGCUAUCGGCGCGAGGAACGCUAUCGAGCGGGAAUAACACGCGAGAGUUCGCUUCGUCGGAUUCCUGCGGCGUGUCGUAACAGGCAACAGCGGAUCGACGUCGUCGACCGAGCUCGCUCUCUUUCUCUCUCUUUCUUCCCGAGGGACUAAUUUGUGCGUGCGCGAGGUAAUAUACGUGUAUACGGGGUGUGGCGAGAAAAUGUAACAGGUUCGCAUUCAACCGUGUUGCUUAGUGCGAUUUGUCAUUGUCAGAGAAAAAGAGAGAGAGAAAUUGUAAUGACGUAUAAAUUAUAAAAAUUUAGAAACGCAAAAAGAUUGUUAAAUUAAUAAAAAUCAAUAAAACUAGCAAUAGCAAUCAUUUACAAUCAUCAUAAGAUAUUAAUUACAUAUAGUAUUUAGUAGACUCUUUUUGUUUGGAAAUAGUAAAUCUUGUUCAACCAAAGUUUAACUUUGAAAGUUUCAAAUGACAUAAUAUUAUUCAAUGGGAUCCUUCUCUCUCUUUCUCUCUCUCUCUCAAAUCAAUUCUUUAUGAUUAAAGAUCGUAAUCCCCAUUUAAUGCUCAUGCAUGCUCUAUGGUGACUGUCUUGGCAAAAAUAUUCUCUGUGAUUUGCCAUUGCCUUCUAAGACGUGAUCAAUUAAAAAACUAAUGUUUUAGAUGAAUCUAAACCUUUAGAUCUUUGGCAUAGAAAACAGACGCGCAACUCUUAUAUCACAAUUACCACAUAAAUUACUUUAUAUUGGAUCUCAAUCAUUAAAAUAUUUCAUAUUACAUGGAGAGAUACGGUUUUGCCAAAACAUCUAAAAGUUUAACUAUACAUAUCUGAAAAUAAUUUUAUUGAUCCAUCAAAAUUAUGUGGAACACUCAAGUUAGUUGUUUGCAUGUCAAAACUUUUGCAGCACUGCUUGUCAUGCUUGAGCGUCCUAGAUAAUUAUUUUAGUGGUUCAAGAAAUAUUAUUUUCAGUUCAUUAUUUUUAUAUAUUUCAACAAAAUUAUACUUUUCAUGUAGAAAAAUAAAAGAUUACAGUUUAAAAGAGAAAACGUCGCAUAAAAAUCUCGCUAAAAGAAUAUAGGGUUCAGAUUUUUUUCCAGAACAGCAGUCUGCCGCCAUUUGUUCUGCUAUUUUAGGACACCCUGCUAGUACCUGGAUGCGCGCAUAUGUGCGUGCGUGCAUGCGUACACGCACGGCCGGUCACCCUUGCGUGUCCAACCCUACGAGUAGUGCGGGUUACGUGCCCGGUGUGGGUGUCAUCGUCGAUGUUAUCGGCGGACCCGGGUCUCCCUUCUCUCGACGAGAAAAAUCUACACAGAGCUACAGAACGUUUCACAAGACUUGAAUUUUUCCAGCGAAAAUCUGAUCAACCUUUCCCACAGUUAAAUUGAAUUGUGGCUAAGUGACCUAAAACUUUUUAAUUAAUACUUGGUCCCUGAAGUCUCUUAACCAUAUUAAUUUAUCAUGUAAAUAUUAAAAAAUUUUCUAUAUUAUCACUUCUUAGUCUCAUUAAUUUAACAAUUUCAAUUAAGCAAAUUAGAAUUCUUGUAAAGCGCAAUUCGUUGCGUUAACUGAUGACUUCAAAGUAUAUUUCUGUCGUUUAUUUUUAUUCGCAAAACUCAAUCUUCCAACGAACAUUAAUUUCCAUGUUGAAUAGUUCUAUGAUUGUGACUAAUUGAAAACUUUCGCGGGAAGAAGUCAAUUAAAAAUCCAUUAAAGAAUAGUCCGUAAUAGUCUUUAUACCUUUAUAUAUACUCGCGGCAGAGUCGAUAGACGAGAGACCAGCGGUUCGCGCUAGCUAGCCAGGACUCGUACAUGGGCAACAUAGAGACUCACUUCGUCGCCAUGGGUUCUUUAACCCGCGAGCGCGCGUACGUGUGCGUGCGUCCAGGUGAUCCCGUCGUGACCCCGUGCCGAUCCCCGGUGACGUUAGCCAAGGUUAAGAAGUGAGAAUGAAACUGUGUUCGCAGGAAAUGAAAAAGGAAACACGCGGGUCGAAAAAUUUCCGAUACCGUUCAGCGACUUGUCAGAGAAUAAUUAAAGAGCUUGAUUGAUACUUGCGAAUAAUAGCAAAAAUACGUUUGAGAAAUUUAAGACCGAAUCAACUAGAACAACUAGAACUGGAGAGAUUUAGGUAGUCUAUUUUCUCUUCCUUUUCCCCGUUCCCUUUUCCUUUAACCCACUUUUUCAACAAUUCGAAUUAAUUAUUAAGGUAGAAAAUUAAUGAACUUUUUUAAGUUUCUAAAAGAGUGAACUAGCUUUGCAUUGAAUCCUUUCAACUGUUACAUUUAUGAUAACGCCAAUUCUUGGUUGGCCUUCUAUAAACAGAAUUUAAUUAGAAAGAGGUAAAAAGUUUUACUUUAUAAAUAAAAUAAAAUAUCAUCUUGGCAUGAUUUUAUGACGCGAUCAGCUUUAAAGUAUCGGAAUGGUCACGGUCGACUUCAAAUUUUCUAUAUCGCGAUUAAAUAAAAACAUGUAUGCAAUUAUUAUCGUCGCCAAAGUAAUUUUGUCUCGCGGAAAGAUCCACCACUAUUGCCAUCGAAAGUGUAUUCGCAAAAUUCGUCAAUCGGAAAAUAGAAAGAAGACGUAGGUGAAAACUCGAAUAGUUUUCAGCGAAACGAAAAAUGCGCAUGCGUAUCGCCCGACCUUUCUCAUCGAAUUGCAUGGUUUUACAAAGUAAAUUUACAAAUUAACGAUCGCGGUUUUACAUAACGGUAGAACCCACGCGAUAUCACAUGGCAAUGUGUUCUUGUUCGCGAACAAUGUAAUUAAAGUGUCAUUGAAUUACACAUGCGAUAUUAACGCAUAGCAACAAAGAAAAAAAUAAUAUGAGGAAGUAAUAAUUUGAUUUCUAUGUCUCUUAUUAAUUGUAAAGGAAAUGUAGUUUUCUAACAUAAAGCAUCGAUGUGCUGUUAAACUCUACGACGUGUCGGAACUGGAAUAACCUGAUCUCGUUCUGCAGCUUGAAAGCAAAAAGAAAUGCGUACGCGCAUUCUCAGAUGUAUUUACCUUUCUACUAUCGAGUUGAACAGAAUGACACCGAUCGUUCUACAGCUGGAAGAUCGCGACAAAUCAAACGUACUAUUGGUAGGAAAGCAACCGGUACUUUUCCUCGCGCAACACCGCGAUAUUGAACGCAUCGAUGUAUAACCGGUGGCACAGACGAGGAGAUGGCACGGGUCGCAAAAUGCUGCCGAUGGGAUCGCACUCGGUGACUUCCGUCGACUUCGCUCUAUCGAGGAUCGACCGCAGGAAUCUAGCGUCAAAAGCACACGCUGGGAGAGUUCCUUAGCCGACCGUCUGUAUGCGCAGGAAGAGACACGAGGGACGAGGGAGGAGAAGGAGCGAGAGAAAGAGAUAAGGAAAGGAGAAAAGAACAGAUAGACUAGUAGUCAGGUCCAUCCUGGGUUCGAAGUCCGGCGUGGUCGCGGUAUUGGAGCGCACCGUUCCUCUUCUUUCUCGCUCUCUGCGCUUCUCUCUAUUUCUCUAUUCCCCUCUUCCUCUCUUUUUCUCCUCUCUCUCCGUCGUUCUUCUUCUCCUCUUCUUCUUCUUCUUCGUCGUCGUUGCUCUUUGCCGGGGUAAUUGCACCCUACCAAGGCCGACAGCUGAUGCAGCCACCACCAUCACAUGCGCAUUUGGUGCCUACAAACGUUUGCAGGACGCGCGCGUAUAGGGACACGAGUGGCCGUGAUAGUGGUUGUGACGAUGAUGAUGGUGAUGGUGAUGGUGGUGGAGGCGGCAGCGGCGGCGGCGACGAUGGUAGUGGUGGUGGUGAUGGUGUUCGUAAGUGUGUGAGAGAACUCCUCUUUGUGUUUACGCGCGUUUGCCGGGUCUCUACCUUCAGGUAGAAAACGACGUAAGCUGCACCACCACCUCGACGGGAAGGUAAAACGGGAGGAAGGGAACCACCACACACACCCGGUCCACGGUGCGGUAAACAUCGGCCCCGCCAUCUUUAAACACCCCGCGAUAUUCGUCGCCGCUACGUGUAGGCUCGACGGCGAGCCCUUAAAUAUUUAAUCGCGACGCGGAAACUCCGAACGAGCUGCCCAUGAGUUUGCCGUCGUUAACGGGAAUUGCAGUCGAUAGAAAUUUCACCGGCUCAGAUUUCGAUGGGACAAGGGCAAAGGUCUCUUCUUUCUAUGUCUUCUUUGCCCUCGACAAACGCACUACGCAAAGAAUUCAUUUGUAUUAUAAUUUAUUUAUAUUACAUGCAACAUUGUAGAGUCGAAUAUCUUAAAGUACUUUUUAUAUAUAUAUAUUUUUUUUUAUAAAUUGCUGCAUGUAGAUAUCUACACGACGUUGAGCAAUUAUAUCAAGAUACUCAAGAUAUAAUGUUUUAAUUCCGGUGAUCCUAGCUGUAUGCGUGCACUACUUUUGUGUACCGAUAACGUACGCUGUGUAUAGAAUUAUCGU
rnacentral:lncRNA from 1 species